AUUGAACGCUGGCGGCAUGCCUUACACAUGCAAGUCGAGCGGUAACAGGUCUUCGGAUGCUGACGAGUGGCGAACGGGUGAGUAAUAUAUCGGAACGUGCCUAGUAGUGGGGGAUAACUACUCGAAGGAGUGGCUAAUACCGCAUGAGAUCUACGGAUGAAAGCAGGGGAUCGCAAGACCUUGUGCUACUAGAGCGGCCGAUGGCAGAUUAGGUAGUUGGUGGGAUAAAAGCUUACCAAGCCGACGAUCUGUAGCUGGUCUGAGAGGACGAUCAGCCACACUGGGACUGAGACACGGCCCAGACUCCUACGGGAGGCAGCAGUGGGGAAUUUUGGACAAUGGGCGCAAGCCUGAUCCAGCAAUGCCGCGUGCAGGAUGAAGGCCUUCGGGUUGUAAACUGCUUUUGUACGGAACGAAAAGCCCUGGGUUAAUACCCUGGGGUCAUGACGGUACCGUAAGAAUAAGCACCGGCUAACUACGUGCCAGCCGCCGCGGUAACAC
rnacentral:rRNA from 1 species